rnacentral:lncRNA from 1 species
UUUCAAUACACUAACAACAGACUAGCAGGAAGAGAAAUUAAGAAUACAAUCUCAUUUACAAUUACAACAAAAAGAAUAGAAUAUGUAGGAAUAAAUUUAACCAAGGAGGUGAAAGUCCUGUACACUGAAAACUAUAAGACACUGUUGAAAGAAAUUGAAGAAGAAGCCACAAAGAAAUGAAAGAUAUUCCAUGCUCAUGGAUUGGAAGAAUUAAUAUAGUUUAAUUGCCCCUAUUAUCUAAAGCAAUCUAUAGAUUCAAUGCAAUUUCUAUCAAAAUCUCCAUGACAUUUUUCACAAAGAACAAAAAAUCCUAACACUUACAUGAAACAACAAAAGACCUGAAAUAGGCAAAGCAAUCUUGAGAAAAAAAGAACAAAGCCAGAGGUAUCAUCCUUCCUGACUUCAAAGUAUGCUACGAAGCUAUAAUAAUCAAAAUAGCACAGUACUGGUAGAAAAACAGACACACAGAUCAUUGGAACAGAAUUGAGAGGCCAGAAAUAAACCCACACAUUUAUGGGCAGCUAACUUUUGACAAAGCAGCCAAGAACAUACAAUGGAAAAACGAAACUCUCUUCAAUAAAUGGUGUUGGGAAAACUGGACAGCCACUUCAAAAGAAUGGAAGUAGCCAUAUCUUACACCAUACACAAAAAUCAACUCAAAAUGGAUUAAAGACUUGAAUGUAAGACCUGAACCAUAAAACUCCUAGAGAAAACAUAGGCAGUAUGCUCUCUGACAUUGGUCUUAGCAAGAUAUUUUCGCAUGUCUCCUCAGGCAAGGGAAACAAAAGAAAAAUAAACAAAUGGAACUACAUCAAGCUAAAAAGCCUCUGCACAGCAAAGGAAACCAUCAACAAAACAAAAGGCAACCUACUAAUAGGGAGGAACACUUUUGCAAAUCAUACAUCUGACAAGGGGUAAUAUCUAAAAUAUAUAAAGAACUCAUACAACUCAACGGCAAAAAAAAAAAAAAAACCUGAUUAAAAAAUGUGCAGAGGAUCUGAACAGAUAUUUUUCAAACAAAAUAUACAGAUGGCUAACAGACACACGAAAAUAUAUUCAACAUCACUAAUUAUUAGGGAAAUGCAAGUCAAAACCACGAUGAGAUAUCACCUCAUGCCUAUCAGAAUGGCUAUUUUCAAAAAGAUAAGAAAUAGCAAGUGUUGGAGAGAAUGUGGAGAAUAGGAACCCUCAUACACUGCUAAUGGGAAUUAAAUUGGUGCAGCCAUUAUGGAAAUGCCUGAAAAAAAUAAAAAUAGAACUACCAUAUGAUCCAGCUAUUCCACUUCUGGGUAUUUAUCCAAAAUAAUGAAAAGACUUAUUCAAAAAGAUACAUGCACCCUAUGUUUUGCAGCAUUAUUUACAAUAGCCAAGACUUGAAAACAAAAUAAGUGCCCGUCAAUGAACGAAUGAAUAAAGAAGAUGUUUAUAUAUAUAUAUAUAUAUAUAUAUAUAUAUACACACACACACACAAUGGAAUACUACUCAACCACAAAAAAGAUGAAAUCUUGCCAUUUUGGACAACAUGGAUGGACCUUGAAGGUAUGAUGCCCAAAUGAAAGAAACCAGACAGAGAGACAAAUGCAAUAUGAUUUCAUCCAUUUAUGGAAAAAAAAAUCCACAUGGAUAUGGAGAACAGAUUGGUGGUUAACAGUGUGGAACAGUGUGGAAGGGGUGUGGGGUUGGUGAAAAGUAUAAAGGGGAACAUUUGUAGGGUGACAAAUGGCAACUAGACUUUUGUG